rnacentral:rRNA from 1 species
GACGAACGCUGGCGGCGUGCUUAACACAUGCAAGUCGAACGGAAAGGCCCUGCUUUUGUGGGGUGCUCGAGUGGCGAACGGGUGAGUAGCACGUGAGUAACCUGCCCUUGACUUUGGGAUAACUUCAGGAAACUGGGGCUAAUACCGGGUAGGAGCUCCUGCUGCAUGGUGGGGGUUGGAAAGUUUCGGCGGUUGGGGAUGGACUCGCGGCUUAUCAGCUUGUUGGUGGGGUAGUGGCUUACCAAGGCUUUGACGGGUAGCCGGCCUGAGAGGGUGACCGGCCACAUUGGGACUGAGAUACGGCCCAGACUCCUACGGGAGGCAGCAGUGGGGAAUAUUGCACAAUGGGCGGAAGCCUGAUGCAGCAACGCCGCGUGCGGGAUGACGGCCUUCGGGUUGUAAACCGCUUCCGCCUGUGACGAAGCGUGAGUGACGGUAAUGGGUAAAGAAGCACCGGCUAACUACGUG